rnacentral:piRNA from 1 species
UGUUGUAUGGAAGGGAUUCCUGCAUGGGC